UGGCGCCCGAACAGGGACCUGGAAACGAGGGACUCCGUGAGGAAGAGGACGCUAAAGGACGGUCGACCACUAACAAAGACAAAAGGAGUCAAACUCUUCCGAUCACCGCGGGAGCCUGCCGCGGGAAAUUAAUAAGCCUAA
rfam:Macaca mulatta chromosome 12, whole genome shotgun sequence.